rnacentral:lncRNA from 1 species
GGCAAGUUUAAAUGUGCCAUAUUAAUAACGUGUUUUCCAAGACAAAUUAAGUCCUUAUGUGUCAAAAGCACUCGGCACUGGAUUAUCUACAAGACAAGUAUUUAUUGAAUAAAUGUUCAGUCCAAUUUCAUUUUAAUGUGACUGACUGUAUGUUUCAGCCUCUUAGGCAGAGAUAAAAACACUCAGACCUAUAACUGUGUUGCAACAUUACACCUAACUUGUCUAUUUCUAUUAUUGUCUCCUAACUUAGAAUAUGGAAAGAAGGCUUUUUUUUUUUUUUUUUUUUUUUUUGGUUGUUGUUCUGAAGAGCAGGGAGAGAGAUAGAAAAACGGCUGGCAUUCAGCCUAAAGAGAAAUCAUUGAAACAAAUUAAUCCUAUGCCGUUUAAAUUGACAUGGUAAUCCAUCAUCAGAGAAGGCAAACUCUGAAAGCAAUCUAGAAUCUGCCCUCUGUUCUUUCACUGGCCCUGGAGGCACAAAGACAGAUAGUAAAGGAGGGGAGGGGGGAAAGUAUCAUAAAAGUUAGGAAUGACUUUAGAAAAUAAUAAAAUUUAUUAUAUCAGCCCUCACAGUCCAGCCUCUGAACUGGCUGAAAGGAGAGGUGAACUUUCACCAGUUGCUUUCAAAGUUUACCUCGAAGUGGUAGAAUAGUUUGCUUCCUCCUCUAGGCUGCCAGGCUGCUGACCACUGCCUGCCGAGUUUAAAAAGUAGACCAACUGGGAGCUCUGGCAGGACCCACACUUACAGAAACUUUCCCUCCAGUGCUGUGUCGAACCUCCAGGUUUGCUCCCAGUAGCCAGCGAGGCUCCCGCUUCCAGAAAAACCAUUUUCACGCCAGGACUUCUGCUGCUUGAGUUUGGGGAGAAGGUUUCCUCUCCCUCCCAGCAAACUCCCCCCAAAGCCUUGCUAACUUCAGCGAGCCCUGCGAGCCUUCGCUCCUCCGCCGCUGGAGACUCCUGCACGCAGCCCUGGGGCCACACACCGUUUCCCACCGCCGCAGCGUGGCUUGAAACCCCCAAAGCCAAUUUCCCAGCCCUGGAGCGAACGCAGGCGUCCUGGGGGCUUCGUUGGUGCGUGUCACCCUGCCCCAGACUUCCUCCCACCUGCCCAGGAGCCUCGAACCUGGAAUCCACUGGCCCUGUGGUCCGCAACGGGUUCCGCCACCCGGCGGCCGCCCUAGA